rnacentral:misc_RNA from 1 species
GAUGAAGAACGUAGCGAAAUGCGAUAAGUAGUGUGAAUUGCAGAAUUCAGUGAAUCAUCGAAUCUUUGAACGCACAUUGCGCCCUUUGGUAUUCCUUAGGGCAUGCCUGUUCGAGCGUCAUUUAAACCUUCAAGCUCAGCUUGGUGUUGGGUGACUGUCCGCUUCACCGCGGACUCGCCUCAAAAUUAUUGGCGGCCGGUACAUUGGCUUCGAGCGCAGCAGAAACGCGAACUCGGGCCCGUCGUAUUGGCUCCCAGAAGCUAUCUUCACAAUUUUGACCUCGGAUCAGGGAGGGAUACCCGCUGAACUUAAGCAUAUCAAUAAGCGGAGGA